rnacentral:rRNA from 1 species
GAGUUUGAUCCUGGCUCAGAUUGAACGCUGGCGGCAUGCUUUACACAUGCAAGUCGAACGGCAGCAUGACCUAGCUUGCUAGGUUGAUGGCGAGUGGCGAACGGGUGAGUAAUGCAUCGGAACGUACCGUGUAAUGGGGGAUAACGCAGCGAAAGUUGUGCUAAUACCGCAUACGUCCUACGGGAGAAAGCAGGGGAUCUUCGGACCUUGCGUUAUACGAGCGGCCGAUGUCAGAUUAGCUAGUUGGUAGGGUAAAGGCCUACCAAGGCGACGAUCUGUAGCUGGUCUGAGAGGAUGAUCAGCCACACUGGGACUGAGACACGGCCCAGACUCCUACGGGAGGCAGCAGUGGGGAAUUUUGGACAAUGGGGGCAACCCUGAUCCAGCCACGCCGCGUGAGUGAAGAAGGCCUUCGGGUUGUAAAGCUCUUUCGUGAGGGAAGAAACGGCGGACUCUAACAUAGUUCGCUAAUGACGGUACCUCAAGAAGAAGCACCGGCUAACUACGUGCCAGCAGCCGCGGUAAUACGUAGGGUGCGAGCGUUAAUCGGAAUUACUGGGCGUAAAGCGUGCGCAGGCGGUUUGACAAGUCUGAUGUGAAAGCCCCGGGCUCAACCUGGGAACUGCGUUGGAAACUGUCAGGCUAGAGUGUGUCAGAGGGAGGUAGAAUUCCACGUGUAGCAGUGAAAUGCGUAGAGAUGUGGAGGAAUACCGAUGGCGAAGGCAGCCUCCUGGGAUAACACUGACG